rnacentral:rRNA from 1 species
GACAGCAGCCGCCACGGUAAUACGUAGGUGGCAAGCGUUGUCCGGAAUUAUUGGGCGUAAAGGGCUCGCAGGCGGUUUCUUAAGUCUGAUGUGAAAGCCCCCGGCUCAACCGGGGAGGGUCAUUGGAAACUGGGAAACUUGAGUGCAGAAGAGGAGAGUGGAAUUCCACGUGUAGCGGUGAAAUGCGUAGAGAUGUGGAGGAACACCAGUGGCGAAGGCGACUCUCUGGUCUGUAACUGACGCUGAGGAGCGAAAGCGUGGGGAGCGAACAGGAUUAGAUACCCCAGUAGUCCCUGUCUCUUAUAC